UACGGGGGGGGCAAGCGUUGUUCGGAAUUACUGGGCGUAAAGGGCUCGUAGGCGGCCAACUAAGUCGGGUGUGAAAUCCCCAGGCUCAACUUGGGAACUGCAUCCGAUACUGGAUGGCUUGAAUUCGGGAGAGGGAUGCAGAAUUCCAGGUGUAGCGGUGAAAUGCGUAGAUAUCUGGAGGAAUACCGGUGGCGAAGGCGGCAUCCUGGAACGACAUUGACGCUGAGGAGCGAAAGCUAGGGGAGCAAACGGG
rnacentral:rRNA from 1 species